AGAGUUUGAUCCUGGCUCAGAGCGAACGCUGGCGGCAGGCCUAACACAUGCAAGUCGAGCGCCCGUAGCAAUACGGGAGCGGCAGACGGGAGAGUAACACGUGGGAACGCGCCCUUCGGUUCGGAAUAACUCAGGGAAACUUGAGCUAAUACCGGAUACGCCCUUACGGGGAAAGAUUUAUUGCCGAAGGAACGGCCCGCGUCCGAUUAGCUUGUUGGUGAGGUAACGGCUCACCAAGGCGACGAUCGGUAGCUGGUCUGAGAGGAUGACCAGCCUCACUGGGACUGAGACACGGCCCAGACUCCUACGGGAGGCAGCAGUGGGGAAUAUUGGACAAUGGGCGCAAGCCUGAUCAGCCAUGCCGCGUGGAUGAUGAAGGCCCUAGGGUUGUAAAGUCCUUUUAACAGGGAAGAUAAUGACGGUACCCGUAGAAUAAGCCCCGGCUAACUUCGUGCCAGCAGCCGCGGUAAUACGAAGGGGGCUAGCGUUGCUCGGAAUUACUGGGCGUAAAGCGCACGUAGGCGGCUUCUUAAGUCGGUGGUGAAAUCCUGGAGCUCAACUCCAGAACUGCCUUCGAUACUGGGAAGCUCGAGUUCGGGAGAGGUGAGUGGAACUGCGAGUGUAGAGGUGAAAUUCGUAGAUAUUCGCAAGAACACCAGUGGCGAAGGCGGCUCACUGGCCCGAUACUGACGCUGAGGUGCGAAAGCGU
rnacentral:rRNA from 1 species